AUUGAACGCUGGCGGCAGGCCUAACACAUGCAAGUCGAGCGGCAGCGGGAAAGUAGCUUGCUACUUUUGCCGGCGAGCGGCGGACGGGUGAGUAAUGCCUGGGAGAUUGCCCAGUCGAGGGGGAUAACAGUUGGAAACGACUGCUAAUACCGCAUACGCCCUACGGGGGAAAGCAGGGGACCUUCGGGCCUUGCGCGAUUGGAUAUGCCCAGGUGGGAUUAGCUAGUUGGUGAGGUAAUGGCUCACCAAGGCGACGAUCCCUAGCUGGUCUGAGAGGAUGAUCAGCCACACUGGAACUGAGACACGGUCCAGACUCCUACGGGAGGCAGCAGUGGGGGAUAUUGCACAAUGGGGGACACCCUGAUGCAGCCAUGCCGCGUGUGUGAAGAAGGCCUUCGGGUUGUAAAGCACUUUCAGCGAGGAGGAAAGGUUGAUGCCUAAUACGUAUCAACUGUGACGUUACUCGCAGAAGAAGCACCGGCUAACUCCGUGCCAGCCGCCGCGGUAAAAC
rnacentral:rRNA from 1 species